AGAAAGGUUGGGACGCCCACCACACACUUUUUCAGGGUCAGGUCACACAGGAACAACGUUUCUGCCUAAUUUGUUACUAAAAAAAUAGAGGAAAACUUCUCAGGUCAGUUUUACCUGCUACAGUGGAAGUGGCUCCGUCCGGCUCGGGUUCUGCUGCUGCUCCAGAUCUCCUCCGUCUGGUUCUGCUUCUCCUGCUGCUGUUCUGAGGCGAGUCAGCUGCAGCCGACAUCCUGCCGCCCGCUGAGCCGCCGCUGCCUGACACACACACACACACACACACACACACACACGUGUGCACGCAGCCUAAUCUGCAACUCUCCCUUUCUACAGAGGAAAAGAAAACCGCUGCUCCACUAAACUUUCCUACAGCUUUGUAAAACAAUCCCCAAAAAACUGUUCACUGAUUAAAUUAUUUCAUUAAAACUGAUUGCUGGACAGUAAAUCAAUAAAAAUAUAAAUUGUGAUAGUCAUGUGAUCAAUAUGUCUCACAAUAUAUAGAAUAUUCAACUCUAUAUAUUGAAUAUUCUGACUGAAUAUUAAAUCUAUGCAAUAUUCACUGAACUCUGAUCCAGAACCAAAAGCAUUCUGGGAGAUGUAGGCUGGGUUGGUGACAUCAACUAACACACUUGCUCCUUGGUUGCCUAGCAACAACAGUUGCCUAGCCUGGAAUCCAUCCAUGGACACAGUUUCCCUCAGCGUGGAGGGAAACUGUGUAAACGAGGAAAGUUCACAUCGCCAGUUCGACUAUAUUUCAGAUCUUUAAAACAAAUAAAAUAUUAAUUAUUGAUAUCAACUGAUAUGAAACGAUUUUCUGACAAUAUACUCCAGUCUUACUUUAACACGGUUUUUAAAACUUGUGUUUUGUCUUGAAAUAAAGAAAAUCAAAUUUCAAAAAGAACAUUUUCCAGGACAGACAUGUUUGGACUCUGAAGAAACGUUUAUUAGAAGGAUCUACGUUCAAAAUAAUUUAAGGCACAGAGUGAGACUGUUUGCCAAGUCUGGUAUAAAAACA